rnacentral:rRNA from 1 species
UACGGAGGAUCCGAGCGUUAUCCGGAUUUAUUGGGUUUAAAGGGUGCGUAGGCGGCCUGGUAAGUCAGGGGUGAAAGACGGUAGCUUAACUAUCGCAGUGCCUUUGAUACUGCCGGGCUUGAAUGUACUUGAAGUGGGCGGAAUGUGACAAGUAGCGGUGAAAUGCAUAGAUAUGUCACAGAACACCGAUUGCGAAGGCAGCUCACUAAAGUAUGAUUGACGCUGAGGCACGAAAGCGUGGGGAUCAAACAGG